GACGAACGCUGGCGGCGUGCCUAAUACAUGCAAGUAGAACGCUGAAGGAGGAUCUUGCUCUUCUGGAUGAGUUGCGAACGGGUGAGUAACCCGUAGGUAACCUGCCUGGUAGCGGGGGAUAACUAUUGGAAACGAUAGCUAAUACCGCAUAACAGUAGAUGUUGCAUGACAUUUGCUUAAAAGGUGCAAUUGCACCACUACCAGAUGGACCUGCGUUGUAUUAGCUAGUUGGUGGGGUAACGGCCCACCAAGGCGGCGGUACAUAGCCGAGCUGGGAGGGUGAUCGGCCAACCUGGGACUGAGAAACGGCCCAGACUCCUACGGGAGGCAGCAGGAGGGAAACUUCGGCAAUGGACGGAAGUCUGACCGAGCAACGCCGCGGGAGAGAAGAAGGGUGUCGGAGCGUAAAGCUCUGUUGUAAGAGAAGAACGAGCGUGAGAGUGGAAAGUUCACACUGUGACGGUAUCUUACGAGAAAGCGACGGCUAACUACGUG
rnacentral:rRNA from 1 species